rnacentral:rRNA from 1 species
UAGCAUCAUCAAAGCUUGCUUUGAUGGAUGGCGACCGGCGCACGGGUGAGUAACACGUAUCCAACCUGCCGACAACACUGGGAUAGCCUUUCGAAAGAAAGAUUAAUACCGGAUGGCAUAGUUUUUCCCGCAUGGGAUAAUUAUUAAAGAAUUUCCGGUGAUGGAUGGGGAUGCGUCUGAUUAGCUUGUUGGCGGGGUAACGGCCCACCAAGGCGACGAUCAGUAGGGGUUCUGAGAGGAAGGUCCCCCACAUUGGAACUGAGACACGGUCCAAACUCCUACGGGAGGCAGCAGUGAGGAAUAUUGGUCAAUGGACGAGAGUCUGAACCAGCCAAGUAGCGUGCAGGAUGACGGCCCUAUGGGUUGUAAACUGCUUUUAUAAGGGAAUAAAGUGGGAGUCGUGACUCUUUUUGCAUGUACCUUAUGAAUAAGGACCGGCUAAUUCCGUG